rnacentral:rRNA from 1 species
UAAGCAUAUCAAUAAGCGGAGGAAAAGAAACCAACAGGGAUUGCCUCAGUAACGGCGAGUGAAGCGGCAACAGCUCAAAUUUGAAAUCUGGCCUCUUUGGGGUCCGAGUUGUAAUUUGUAGAGGAUGUUUCGGGUACCGCCUCGGUUUAAAUUUCUUGGAACAGAAUGUCAAAGAGGGUGAGAAUCCCGUCUUGGACCGGCGGUAGGGCCCAUGUGAAACUCCUUCGACGAGUCGAGUUGUUUGGGAAUGCAGCUCAAAAUGGGUGGUAAAUUUCAUCUAAAGCUAAAUAUUGGCCAGAGACCGAUAGCGCACAAGUAGAGUGAUCGAAAGAUGAAAAGCACUUUGAAAAGAGAGUUAAACAGUAUGUGAAAUUGUUGAAAGGGAAGCGCUUACAACCAGACUUGCGCGCGGCGGUUCCCCCUUCCUUUUGGUUGGGCUACUCCGUCGUGUCCAGGCCAACAUCGGUUCUGGGGGUCGGUUAAAGACCCUGGGAAUGUAUCUACCCUUCGGGCGUAGACUUAUAGCUCAGGGUGUCAUGCGACCUCCCGGGACCGAGGAACGCGCUUCGGCUCGGAUGUUGGCGUAAUGGUUGUCAGCGACCCGUCUUGAAACACGGACCAAGGAGUCUAACAUCUAUGCGAGUGUUUGGGUGUCAAACCCGGAACGCGAAAUGAAAGUGAACGGAGGUAGGAAGCCAUGAGGCUGCACUAUCGACCGAUCCUGAUGUCUUCGGAUGGAUUUGAGUAAGAGCAUAGCUGUUGGGACCCGAAAGAUGGUGAACUAUGCCUGAAUAGGGUGAAGCCAGAGGAAACUCUGGUGGAGGCUCGCAGCGGUUCUGACGUGCAAAUCGAUCGUCAAAUUUGGGUAUAGGGGCGAAAGACUAAUCGAACCAUCUGGUAGCUGGUUCCUGCCGAAGU